GAUGAACGCUGGCGGCGUGCCUAAUACAUGCAAGUCGAGCGAACGGACGAGAAGCUUGCUUUUCUGAUGUUAGCGGCGGACGGGUGAGUAACACGUGGAUAACCUACCUAUAAGACUGGGAUAACUUCGGGAAACCGGAGCUAAUACCGGAUAAUAUUUUGAACCGCAUGGUUCAAAAGUGAAAGACGGUCUUGCUGUCACUAAUAGAUGGAUCCGCGCUGCAUUAGCUAGUUGGUAAGGUAACGGCUUACCAAGGCAACGAUGCAUAGCCGACCUGAGAGGGUGAUCGGCCACACGGGAGCUGAGACACGGUCCAGACUCCUACGGGAGGCAGCAGUAGGGAAUCUUACGCAAUGGGGGAGAGCCUGACGGAGCAACGCCGCGUGAGUGAUGAAGGUCUUCGGAUCGGAAAGCUCUGUUAUUAGGGAAGAACAGAUGUGUAAGUAACUGUGCACAUAUUGACGGUACCUAAUCAAAAAGCCACGGCUAACUACGUG
rnacentral:rRNA from 1 species